GCCUUCAUGGUGUAGUGGUCAGCACGCUCGGCGCGUAUUCGAGAGGUCCGGGGUUCAAUUCCCGGCGAGUGUA
rnacentral:tRNA from 1 species